rnacentral:rRNA from 1 species
UACGUAGGGCGCAAGCGUUGUCCGGAAUCUUGGGCGUAAAGAGCUCGUAGGUGGUCUGUUACGUCUGCUGUGAAAUCCUCAGGGCUUAACCCUGGGCCUGCAGGUGGAUACGGGCAGACUAGAGGUAGGUAGGGGAGAAUGGAAUUCCCGGUGUAGCGGUGAAAUGCGCAGAUAGCGGGAGGAACACCGGUGGCGAAGGCGGUCUCUGGGCCUUACCUGACACUGGAGGAGCGAAAGCGUGGGGAGCGAACAGGG